rnacentral:misc_RNA from 1 species
AAAGUCGUAACAAGGUAACCGUAGGUGAACCUGCGGUUGGAUCAUUAUAAAAUGAACUUUUAGGCCCAGCUCAUGCUUUGCAUUUGUAGCUGGUCUAAACUUAACCUUUGUGCACUGAAAAUCGUAUCUGGGUCGUGCUUUUUGCCUUCCCAACCAUAUAAACCAUUACUUUUUAUUUUUUGUCUGACUUUUGUAUUCUAACGAAUCAAAUACAACUUUUAACAACGGAUCUCUUGGCUCUC